UGGGGAAUAUUGCACAAUGGGCGAAAGCCUGAUGCAGCAACGCCGCGUGAGUGAUGAAGGCCUUCGGGUUGUAAAACUCUGUCUUCAGGGACGAUAAUGACGGUACCUGAGGAGGAAGCCACGGCUAACUACGUGCCAGCAGCCGCGGUAAUACGUAGGUGGCAAGCGUUGUCCGGAUUUACUGGGCGUAAAGGGAGCGUAGGCGGAUACUUAAGUGGGAUGGGAAAUACCCGGGCUCAACUUGGGUGCUGCAUUCCAAACUGGGUGUCUAGAGUGCAGGAGAGGAAAGUGGAAUUCCUAGUGUAGCGGUGAAAUGCGUAGAGAUUAGGAAGAACACCAGUGGCGAAGGCGACUUUCUGGACUGUAACUGACGCUGAGGCUCGAAAGCGUGGGGAGCAAACA
rnacentral:rRNA from 1 species